GACGAACGCUGGCGGCGUGCCUAAUACAUGCAAGUCGAACGCAGUGGGGACGGGUGAGUAACACGUGGGUAAUCUCCCAUAAGAGGGGAUAACACUUGGAAAAAGGUGCUAAACCGAUACUGAUGGAUGGAGCCGCGGUGCAUUAGCUAGUGGGUGAGGUAACGGCUCACCAAGGCCACGAUGCAUAGCGGACCUGAGAGGGUGAUCGGCCACACUGGGACUGAGACACGGCCCAGACUCCUACGGGAGGCAGCAGUGGGGAAUCUUCGGCAAUGGACGCAAGCCUGACCCAGCAACGCCGCGUGAGUGAAGAAGGUUUUCGGAUCGUAAAACUCUGUUGGUAGAGAAGCGGUAUCUAACCAGAAAGCCCCGGCUAACUACGUGCCAGCAGCCGCGGUAAUUC
rnacentral:rRNA from 1 species